rnacentral:rRNA from 1 species
GACGAACGCUGGCGGCGUGCCUAAUACAUGCAAGUCGAGCGGACAGACGGGAGCUUGCUCCCUGAUGUUAGCGGCGGACGGGUGAGUAACACGUGGGUAACCUGCCUGUAAGACUGGGAUAACUCCGGGAAACCGGGGCUAAUACCGGAUGGUUGUCUGAACCGCAUGGUUCAGACAUAAAAGGUGGCUUCGGCUACCACUUACAGAUGGACCCGCGGCGCAUUAGCUAGUUGGUGAGGUAACGGCUCACCAAGGCAACGAUGCGUAGCCGACCUGAGAGGGUGAUCGGCCACACUGGGACUGAGACACGGCCCAGACUCCUACGGGAGGCAGCAGUAGGGAAUCCUCCGCAAUGGACGAAAGUCUGACGGAGCAACGCCGCGUGAGUGAUGAAGGUUUUCGGAUCGUAAAGCUCUGUUGUUAGGGAAGAACAAGUGCCGUUCAAAUAGGGCGGCACCUUGACGGUACCUAACCAGAAAGCCACGGCUAACUACGUG